UUAACGGAGAGUUUGAUCCUGGCUCAGGACGAACGCUGGCGGCGUGCUUAACACAUGCAAGUCGAACGAUGAGGGCCCGGGCUUGCCCGGGUCUGAUUAGUGGCGAACGGGUGAGUAACACGUGAGUAACCUGCCCCCGACUUCGGGAUAACCGCGAGAAAUCGUGGCUAAUACCGGAUAUGACGCCCCUGCCGCAUGGUGGGGUGUGGAAAGACUGUGUCGGUCGGGGAUGGGCUCGCGGCCUAUCAGCUUGUUGGUGGGGUGAUGGCCUACCAAGVCGACGGGUAGCCGGCCUGAGAGGGUGACCGGCCACACUGGGACUGAGACACGGCCCG
rnacentral:ncRNA from 1 species